UACAGAGGUCUCGAGCGUUAUCCGGAAUCACUGGGCGUAAAGCGUCUGCAGGUGGUUUCCUAAGUCCACUGUUAAACCUUGAGGCUCAACCUCAAAUCUGCAUUGGAAACUAGGAGACUUGAGUAUAGUAGGGGUAGAGGGAAUUUCCAGUGGAGCGGUGAAAUGCGUAGAUAUUGGAAAGAACACCGAUGGCGAAGGCACUCUACUGGGCUAUUACUGACACUCAGAGACGAAAGCUAGGGGAGCAAAUGGG
rnacentral:rRNA from 1 species